AAUAAAACUGUGAAGAGAAGAAGUAGAAGUCAUGGGUUUUCAACAGAAAGUUACCGGAUGAUGAGAGGGGCAGAAAACGGAUUUUGAAUACAUCUCUGAGUUACAAAUUGAAAGGAUUGAAUUACACAAUCUCAGUAGACUUUUGUCGGCUGCCACCGUUAUAUGGAUAAGGUAUAAGCAUUUUUUGCCGUACCUGACGAGGUUUGCACAGUAAUGUGUAAACAAAUUGAGGUGGUAACACGUGAGCAAAGCUCCCGUCCUCUGC
rnacentral:ncRNA from 1 species